CCGGUGUAGCUCAAUCAGGUAGGGCGCCGCUCUCUGAAAGCGGAGGCUGUGGGUUCGAGUCCCACCACCGGUA
rnacentral:tRNA from 1 species